CCUUAGGAGGGGGACAACAACUGGAAACGGUUGCUAAUACCCCCAUAUGCUGAGGAGUAAAACGGUGAAAGCCGCCUAGGGAUGGGCUUGCGUCUGAUUAGCUUGUUGGUGAGGUAAAGGCUUACCAAGGCUACGAUCAGUAGCUGGUCUGAGAGGAUGAUCAGCCACACUGGGACUGAGACACGGCCCAGACUCCUACGGGAGGCAGCAGUGAGGAAUUUUCCGCAAUGGGCGAAAGCCUGACGGAGCAAUGCCGCGUGGAGGAUGAAAGCCUGUGGGUCGUAAACUCCUUUUCUCAGAGAAGAAGUUCUGACGGUAUCUGAGGAAUAAGCAUCGGCUAACUCCGUGCCAGCAGCCGCGGUAAUACGGAGGAUGCAAGCGUUAUCCGGAAUGAUUGGGCGUAAAGCGUCUGUAGGUGGUUUCUUAAGUCUACUGUCAAAGAUCAGGGCUUAACCCUGGGCAGGCAGUAGAAACUAAGAGGCUUGAGUACGGUAGGGGCAGAGGGAAUUCCCGGUGUAGCGGUGAAAUGCGUAGAGAUCGGGAAGAACACCAACGGCGAAAGCACUCUGCUGGGCCGAAACUGACACUGAGAGACGAAAGCUAGGGGAGCAAAUGGGAUUAGAUACCCCAGUAGUCCUAGCCGUAAACGAUGGAUACUAAGUGCUGUGCGAUUCAAACCGUCCAGUACUGUAGCU
rnacentral:rRNA from 1 species